CAACAGGGAUUGCCUUAGUAACUGCGAGUGAAGCGGCAAAAGCUCAAAUUUGAAAUCUGGCGUCUUCGGCGUCCGAGUUGUAAUUUGGAGGGGCAUCUUCGGAGUUGGCGCCGUCCUAAGUUCCUUGGAACAGGACGUCAUAGAGGGUGAGAAUCCCGUGCCUGGAUGGCUGUCCAUCUCCAUGUGAAGUGUCUCCGACGAGUCGAGUUGUUUGGGAAUGCAGCUCAAAAUGGGUGGUAAAUUUCAUCUAAAGCUAAAUAUUGGCGAGAGACCGAUAGCGCACAAGUAGAGUGAUCGAAAGAUGAAAAGCACUUUGAAAAGAGAGUUAAAAAGUACGUGAAAUUGUUGAAAGGGAAGCGCUUGAGACCAGACUCAAUCUUUGGUGAUCAGCUGUGCUUCUGUACAGUGCACUUGCCAUUGAUUGGGCCAGCAUCGGUUCUGACGGCGGGAUAAAAGGCAGAGGAAUGUGGCUCUCUUCGGGGAGUGUUAUAGCCUCAGUCACAAUGCCGCCAGUUGGGACCGAGGACCGCGCUUCGGCUAGGAUGCUGGCGUAAUGGUCUUAAGCGACCCGUCUUGAAACACGGACCAAGGAGUCUAACAUCUAUGCGAGUGUUCGGGUGGAAAACCCUUGCGCGUAAUGAAAGUGAACGGAGGUGGGAACUCGCAAGAGUGCACCAUCGACCGAUCCUGAUGUCUUCGGAAGGAUUUGAGUAAGAGCAUAGCUGUUGGGACCCGAAAGAUGGUGAACUAUGCCUGAAUAGGGUGAAGCCAGAGGAAACUCUGGUGGAGGCUCGCAGCGGUUCUGACGUGCAAAUCGAUCGUC
rnacentral:rRNA from 1 species